CUCCGCCCCUGCCCCGCGCCGAUCUGCCCCUCCGUGGGGUGGAGCACCAACCCCGGCUCAUCCAGAGAAUGGAGAGCGGCUACGAGAGCAGCGAGAGGAACAGCAGCAGCCCCGACCGGGAGGUAGGACAACAAAAGCGGGCUCUGAUGUCAGGACCUUCAUGGCGUUCGGUGCCCAAGUCCAAAAGCAGCGGUGCCAUUUUACAGGAGCUGCCCCCCUCCAGCAGCGGGACGGCCACCAACAUAGGCUUCAGGCGCAGUGAGCUGGACGAGCUGCAGGAGGAGGUAGUGAGGCGGGCCCGGCAGCAGGAGCAGC
rnacentral:lncRNA from 1 species